AGCAGCCGCGGUAAUUCCAGCUCCAAUAGCGUAUAUUAAAGUUGUUGCAGUUAAAAAGCUCGUAGUUGAAUUUCGGGGUCAGUAGGUUGGUCGUGCCACUGGUACGUACUGGUCUCACUGAUUCCUCCUUCCUGAUGAACCGUAAUGCCAUUAAUUUGGUGUUGCGGGGAAACUGGACUGUUACUUUGAAAAAUUAGAGUGUUUAAAGCAGGCUAACGCUUGAAUACAUUAGCAUGGAAUAAUGAAAUAGGACGUUCGAUCCUAUUUUGUUGGUUUCUAGGAUUGACGUAAUGAUUAAUAGGGAUAGUUGGGGGCAUUAGUAUUCAAUUGUCAGAGGUGAAAUUCUUGGAUUUAUUGAAGACUAACUACUGCGAAAGCAUUUGCCAAGGAUGUUUUCAUUAAUCAAGAACGAAAGUUAGGGGAUCGAAGACGAUCAGAUACCGUCGUAGUCUUAACCAUAAACUAUGCCGACUAGGGAUCGGAUGAUGUUAAUUUUUUAAUGUACUCA
rnacentral:rRNA from 1 species